UACGUAGGGUCCGAGCGUUGUCCGGAAUUAUUGGGCGUAAAGGGCUCGUAGGCGGUUUGUCGCGUCGGGAGUGAAAACACGGGGCUUAACCCCGUGCCUGCUUCCGAUACGGGCAGACUAGAGGUAUGCAGGGGAGAACGGAAUUCCUGGUGUAGCGGUGAAAUGCGCAGAUAUCAGGAGGAACACCAGUGGCGAAGGCGACUACCUGGCCUGUUCUUGACGCUGAGGCGCGAAAGCUAGGGGAGCAAACGGG
rnacentral:rRNA from 1 species